rnacentral:rRNA from 1 species
AUUGAACGCUGGCGGCAGGCCUAACACAUGCAAGUCGAACGAGUGGCGGACGGGUGAGUAAUGGCUGGGAAACUGCCCGAUGGAGGGGGAUAACUACUGGAAACGGUAGCUAAUACCGCAUACCAUCGGAUGUGCCCAGAUGGGAUUAGCUAGUGGGUGGGGUAACGGCUCACCUGGGCGACGAUCCCUAGCUGGUCUGAGAGGAGGACCCGCCACACUCGAACUGAGACACGGUCCAGCCUCAUACGUGAGGCAGCAGGGGGGAGUAUUGCACAAUGGGGGCAAGCCUGAUGCAGCCAUGCCGCGGGGAGAAAGAAGGCCUUCGGGUUGUAAAGGACUUUCAGCGAGGAGGCGUUACGCGCAGAAGAAGCACCGGCUAACUCCGUGCCAGCCGCCGCGGUAAUAC